UUGGGUUAUAUGAUACAAACAAUAAAACUCAAAAGCCAGUUAAAAAUAAAUAUUUUAUUUAACCAAUGUGACAUCAAGAUGAUCCAUAACAUCUAGAACAUUAUUAUAUAAAGUAUUUCUAGACUUGUCUAUUUUAUUAAGUUAAUUGAACAACCAUAUGAAACUUUAAACAUUGCACCUGCAGUUUACAACAAUUAUUAAAGAGGUUGACAAUAUAUAUAUAAUAUAGGUAUAAGUCUUUUUAUCUAAACAUAUCAUUUUGAUUGUAUAAAUAAUUAUCAUUAUCUGCAUGUCAUACUAUUCUUCAUCAUUUCAAAGCAGAGAAGAGUUCAACAUUCAUAAGCAAUUGAAAGUACAAUUUUGACUAUACACAAUUAUUUUGUACUUUUGAAAGUCCAAAGACAUAAAAAAAGGUCUUGAGGCAUUUGAGUUGUUGUUCACUUAACAUUGUAUUAAAAUUAAUUGGUCUACAAAUCAGUAAUUAUAAAAAAAUAGAAAUACAAUUAAGCGUAAAAAAAUUAGUUUAAAAAAAUAUCGGUUAGGUCUACUUUUAAAAUUAUUUUCGGCAGACAACAAUUUACCUAUUUCCGUAAAUGGAUACAAUUUUUAAUUUUUGGUUUAUUAGCCUACCUACACAUAAAGUUGUAAAAUAUUAUUUUCUUAUUAUGGCUGGAUUUAAUUUAAACGUUAAUAAUAAUUAAUAUGUAUCUUAAUAAUAUUAUUAAUCAUCAAAUAAGUAACUGGUGUUACAAGUGAAUAUUACGUUCAAGAAAAAGUAUAUAUUAAUCAACAUAAAAUGAUACAUAAAGAGGAUUGUCAGAAGAAUAAAAAAAAAAAAUAAAAAUAAAAAUAAAUUGGGUCGUUAUUAUAAUAAA